rnacentral:rRNA from 1 species
AGUGAACGCUGGCGGUAGGCCUAACACAUGCAAGUCGAACGGCAGCACAGUAAGAGCUUGCUCUUACGGGUGGCGAGUGGCGGACGGGUGAGGAAUACAUCGGAAUCUACUUUUUCGUGGGGGAUAACGUAGGGAAACUUACGCUAAUACCGCAUACGACCUACGGGUGAAAGCAGGGGAUCUUCGGACCUUGCGCGAUUGAAUGAGCCGAUGUCGGAUUAGCUAGUUGGCGGGGUAAAGGCCCACCAAGGCGACGAUCCGUAGCUGGUCUGAGAGGAUGAUCAGCCACACUGGAACUGAGACACGGUCCAGACUCCUACGGGAGGCAGCAGGGGGGAAUAUUGGACAAUGGGCGCAAGCCUGAUCCAGCCAUACCGCGUGGGUGAAGAAGGCCUUCGGGUUGUAAAGCCCUUUUGUUGGGAAAGAAAAGCAGCAGGUUAAUACCCCGCUGUUCUGACGGUACCCAAAGAAGAAGCACCGGCUAACUUC